GGAGUAGCAGGUGUGGGCAGGCGGGCAUGGCGCGGUGGCCCCCCGGUGGACCCGCGGGCUGAGAGUGAACGCAUCCUCUCCCACGUUGUUGCCGGCGGCAGUCGCCCUGGGGGCUUCCCACCGGAUCGGAUCCGGGCUGUCCCCAGCCCUGCACCAUGUUGAGGGGUCAGACAGCGUCCCAAGAGCCUGCCCUGCCAUGUCACGCACCAGCACUCCUGAUUCACAUGAACUGAUUCCUUACUGAGCACCAGCCGCUGGACCAACUGUCUCCAUGCAGGAUUUGUUGGAUUCUCACUACAACCCUGUGAGCCAGAUCAUGACCAGCUAGCUACCACUUGGAAGAAUGAGUGACAGGAUCGAGUGUGAACUGAAGGAGGAGCUGUCUGUGCUUCACCAGGGACACAUCGGCAUCCACUUUUACACUCCAAAGCCUGCGAACCGUAAACAACCUGCAACUCUGCCUCCCAGCCAGGCCAUUCUUCUGGAUACUGGAGGGAGCACAGCUGGACUAGGCACGGCAAAAGCAGAGGUGCUGGAGAGAAAAUGCCCCUGGAAGCAGCCAGUGUGCAAAGACAGGCGCUGAGACCACUCUGAGAGAAAUUCCCCCGGUUCCAGGACCUUCGAUUUGGCUCAGGACCUGGUGUUGUCCUCAACUUCCGCUCUGGCUGAGCAGUCAGCCGGCUGGACCCAGAACUGAAUGAUGGCCUUUUCCCCAGGGGAGCAGCUCACUUGCGGUGAGGGAUAGCUGAGGUUCGUGGGGGCAAGCAUCUCAACGCAGAAAGCCCCGGCUGAAACUCGUGGCCUUGCCCUCCAGAAUGGAUGCUCUGAUGUACCCCGUCUGUCGAGUUUCCCAGAUCAGCACAUCCAUCCUCUCCCUGGUCGCAUGACGCCCUCAGAGUCUCUCCAAGGAAAUGGCCAGUGAGUGACCCCAGCCCCAGGAAGCCCUGAAUACCUGACUGACACCUCUGGAUGACUGUCCUCUUCGGAUCUCAGCCCACUAAUGACUCAAGAUCUUGUCAGCUCUUUGAUUAUUUUAGGAAGCUGUUUUAUUUAUGUGACAUCCACAUUGUUUAUGUUGUCGACAAUGGAAGGCUUGCCUCAAUGACUUCACUGUUACUAAGUGGACACAGCCGUCCUCCAAGUGGAUUUUUUAAAACGGAGUCUGCACGCUUCCACUGGCUCCCAACCCUUCCAUGGUGCUCCGUCUGCCCCCCAGAAGAUUCGGAUUCCUCAGCCUGGCACCCAAAGUCUUCGGAGAUUUGGUUCCAGCCUUUCUCUUCCCUUGCCUCCCACCUCCCGCCUCCUUGUCCGCUCCCUGCUUUACUUUGCCAGCCCCUAGAUCCUCUUCUCCCUGUGUUCUUUCUCACCAUCAGGACUUUGCUUCUGAGCAUCCUUCACAUUCUUUCACCCUUCCCUCCCCCAGCCCAAACUCUUCCCCCAAUAAAUGGCUGCUCAUCCUUCCAGAAUCUCCCUCGCCCUCUGUAGAUGGAGCCUUCCUCUUUACCCCAUCCCCCAGGAAUGACUGAUCACCCCUUUCUCUGUGUCUCUACAGUUCCCUGCUACAUUACAUAUUGAUGCAAUCUUUUUUUAGUAUAUGCAUCACGAUCUUUAUUAACAAAGCUUUUCCCAUGGGAGUACUUCUCAUCGUUUCUUUACUUGAUUAGUACUGCUGGUUGCCUAUAUUGCUGUGCUGGGUCUACCAUCACAAGUACACAGACUGGGCAACCUAGACAACAGAAACAUAUUUUCUCACAGUUUGGGAAGCUGGGAAG